GAAAGCAUCUAAGCGCGAAGCCUGCCUCGAGAUGAGAUCUCCUUACAGGGUCGUCGUAGACGACGACGUUGAUAGGCCACAGGUGUAAAGCCGGUGACGGCAAAGCCGAGUGGUACUAAUCACCCGAAAGUUGACGUUC
rnacentral:rRNA from 1 species